UACGUAGGGGGCAAGCGUUGUCCGGAAUUAUUGGGCGUAAAGCGCGCGUAGGCGGCUCGGUAAGUCUGCUGUGAAAGUCCAGGGCUCAACCCUGGAAUGCCGGUGGAUACUGUCGAGCUCGAGUCCGGAAGAGGCGAGUGGAAUUCCUGGUGUAGCGGUGAAAUGCGCAGAUAUCGGGAGGAACACCAAUGGCGAAGGCAGCUCGCUGGGACGUGACUGACGCUGAGACGCGAAAGCGUGGGGAGCAAACAGG
rnacentral:rRNA from 1 species